GGUAAGAGCCAUCGUGCGGUGGCUGUAGCCUGGUUCCUUGGCGUGCCCAGCGUGCGGGUGCUCCUUAUUGUCUCUAGCUCCCUUUGCAAAGAUACAGGCCAGGGGAAUUGCAGGUAAGAUCCUUGUGUAGAGGGAUUUCCUCAAGGCAUUUGCAAGAUCCAGAGCAGGAGUUCUUAACGUGAGUGAUGGACUUUUUUGGGGUGUUUGAAGUCUAUG
rnacentral:lncRNA from 1 species